ensembl:ncRNA F14B8.10 ncRNA
CUCACGUUUCACUAUUGUUCUUUUUUCUCCUACCACUCAUUAUUGUUUUGCACUAUGGUCGUUUUGAGGGCACGGAAUGGAUAAGAAGUAUGUUUUAAUGCUUCAUUCGUUACAUUGACAAACGUUUGUGCUUGCAAGAAGUAUACAAAUAGUUCAAAAAACUAGGUGUACAGAAUCAACCAAACUUGGU